GACAUGUCCAAAACACAUUAACGCUAGCCUAAACAUGUCAGGUGGACGUCUGGCUGUGUCAACAUAGCUUUUCCAUAACGUUAUACUGUAUGAGGGUAUAGAUGCAAUAUUGUGCCACAUAUUAGUAUAUAAUGCAUGCCGUUCUCUGUAAUAUCUGCAUUUUAUCUUGCAACCUAAGUUACUCCGUGGCUAUAAGCGUUAUCGUUAACUGAUUUAGCAUAUCUUUUUUUAUCUUCACAGUUAAUAAACUUCACUUGCUGGAAAGGGACGAGCGGUCAGAUUGUUUCAUUCUGACCUUGCUAUCCUGAUAGCCAAGCUUUAAGUAACCGGAAUAGAUUUAUCUUAAGUGGUUGGCUGACACUAAUAAUAGUCACUGAGCUGGUAAUUGGAACAGUGCUAAGUUAGAGCAGCGGAGUGCUAGUCGUUAGCUAAUCAACUACCCAUUCAGAACAUAACCAGCAUGGACGACAACACAUCAUCAUCAGGAGAGUCCAAAAGCGGUCUCACCGGACUUCUCCGGGGGACCACACCUGGGUACUCCAACACGGAUCUAGCUGGUGUUCCAUUGACUGGCAUGAGUCCCCUGUCGCCAUACCUGAACGUAGAUCCAAGAUACCUUUUACAGGACACUGACGAGUUCAUUCUGCCCACGGGUGCCAACAAGACGAGAGGGCGCUUUGAGCUGGCCUUCUUCACCAUCGGGAGCUGCUGCAUCUCAGGUGCUGUGUUUGGAGCACUUAACGGGCUCUGUAUGGGGUUGGCGGAGACCAAAGACAUGUCAUGGUCCAAGCCACGGAACGUGCAGAUCCUGAACCUGGUGACCCGCCAGGGGGCCACCUGGGCCAACACACUGGGCUCUGUGGCCUUGUUGUACAGUGUAUUUGGAGUGGUCAUUGAGAAAGCCAGAGGAGCUGAGGAUGAUGUCAACACUGUGGUUGCCGGGACGAUGACAGGUGUGCUCUACAAAUCACCAGGUGGCAUAAGGACUGCGGUACGUGGGGGGCUGGUGGGUCUGGCUCUGACGGGGGGCUACGCGCUCUACAACAACUGGCACCACCUGAAGGGCAGCAGCUCCCACAGCCGCUACUGACCACGAGCAUGCUGGGAUACUGGAGGACCGCCGAGAUGCCUCCAGAUGCAACGCUGCUCGCCUUCAUGCAUUAAUCUGAUUGGUCAGCUUGCUAUCAUACAUUAAUCUGAUUGGUCAGCUCGCUAUCAUACAUUAAUCUGAUUGGUCAGCUCGUCAUCAUGCAUUAAUCUGAUUCUUCUUUGCACUCAUCGAUAAGCCAACUCCACAAGCGCCUCUCACCUACCAAUGGGAAUCCAUCUGGUCAUCAGUGAUGCUAGCACCCAAAAGUACGGGUCACACAGACCUGUAGAUUAAAUAGCUGUGCAUUGCGUGUGUGUCUCUGACAGCAGGACUUCAAGUUCUCAGGGCCAACAAGCACAAGGUAAAGCCCUGAUGCAGUUGUGUGUGCGUGUAUUUGAGUGACAGUCUUAAGUUCUGCUCCCCUGUCAUUUUGCUGCUUUCUCUGAUAGGAGAGAUAAAUAAAGCUUUGGCUUAUUUCUAUUCAUUUCAUAAAUGAAGGUCCUCUGUAAGAGGUAAGGUAUGUGAUUUAUAAAUGUCUAAGUGCACUAACUCCAGAACAGGAGGCCUGGAUUUGUCCCUGAUCUCUGGCUACUGAAAUGAAAAUGUAUCCUUGUAACAUGGUUUUGAUCUUUGAGCAUGCUUUAAUAAGUAUUUUUAAAAUUCUAUAAGCACUGUUUUGAUCUUUGAGUAUGCUUUAAGCAGUGUUUUGAGUAUACUUUAAGCAGUGUUUUUUAGUAUGGUUUAAGCAGUGUUUUGAGUAUGCUUUAAGCAAUGUUUGAGUAUGCUUUAAGCAGUGUUUGAGUGUGCUUUAAUCGGUGUUUUGAGUAUGCUUUAAGCAGUGUUUGAGUAUGCUUUAAGCAGUGUUUUGUUUUGAGUAUGCUUUAAUCAGUGUUUUGAGUAUACUUUAAUCAGUGUUUGAGUAUGCUUUAGGCAGUGUUUUGAGUAUGCUUUAAGCAGUGUUUUGAGUAUGCUUUAAGCAGUGUUUGAGUGUGCUUUAAGCAGUGUUUGAGUAUGCUUUAGGCAGUGUUUUGAUAUGCUUUAAUCAGUGUUUUGAGUAUGCUUUAAGCAGUGUUUUGAGUAUGUAUGCUUUAAUCAGUGUUUGAGUAUGCUUUAAUCAGUGUUUGAGUAUGCUUUAAGCAGUGUUUGAGUAUACUUUAAGCAGUGUUUGAGUAUGUAUGCUUUAAGCAGUGUUUUGAGUAUGCUUUAAGCAGUGUUUUUAGUGUACUUUAAGCAGUGUUUUGAGUAUGCUUUAAGCAGUGUUUUUAGUGUACUUUAAGCAGUGUUUGAGUAUGCUUUAAGCAGUGUUUUUAGUGUACUUUAAGCAGUGUUUGAGUAUGCUUUAAGCAGUGUUUGAGUAUGCUUUAAGCAGUGUUUUAGUAUUGGACCAAGUUGUUUGGACCAAGCGUGAUUCUGUUGUCUGCAUCAUCUGUUUUUGUGUUCUCGUCGUGCUCUGCAGCUGGAUGUUUCUGUGCUGUUCCAGCACAUGACUGACGCUGCUCCAGCACAUGACUGACGUGACUAUUAAAAACAAACAUGCUGUCCGCA